AACUUCUGAAUGUUGACCUCGAAUCAGGUAGGAAUACCCGCUGAACUUAAGCAUAUCAAUAAGCGGAGGAAAAGAAACCAACAGGGAUUGCCCCAGUAACGGCGAGUGAAGCGGCAACAGCUCAAAUUUGAAAUCUGGCUCUCGGGCCCGAGUUGUAAUUUGUAGAGGAUGCUUUUGGUGAGGUGCCUUCCGAGUUCCCUGGAACGGGACGCCAUAGAGGGUGAGAGCCCCGUCUGGUUGGAUGCCAAUCCUCUGUAAAGCUCCUUCGACGAGUCGAGUAGUUUGGGAAUGCUGCUCUAAAUGGGAGGUAUAUGUCUUCUAAAGCUAAAUACCGGCCAGAGACCGAUAGCGCACAAGUAGAGUGAUCGAAAGAUGAAAAGAACUUUGAAAAGAGAGUUAAAAAGUACGUGAAAUUGUUGAAAGGGAAGCGCUUGUGACCAGACUUGGGCUUGGUUGAUCAUCCGGGGUUCUCCCCGGUGCACUCUUCCGGCCCAGGCCAGCAUCAGUUCGCCCUGGGGGACAAAGGCUUCGGGAAUGUGGCUCUCUCCGGGGAGUGUUAUAGCCCGUUGCGUAAUACCCUGUGGCGGACUGAGGUUCGCGCAUUCGCAAGGAUGCUGGCGUAAUGGUCAUCAGUGACCCGUCUUGAAACACGGACCAAGGAGUCGUCUUCGUAUGCGAGUGUUCGGGUGUCAAACCCCUACGCGAAAUGAAAGUGAACGCAGGUGAGAGCUUCGGCGCAUCAUCGACCGAUCCUGAUGUUAUCGGAUGGAUUUGAGUAAGAGCAUACGGGGCCGGACCCGAAAGAAGGUGAACUAUGCCUGUGUAGGGUGAAGCCAGAGGAAACUCUGGUGGAGGCUCGCAGCGGUUCUGACGUGCAAAUCGAUCGUCAAACAUGGGCAUGGGGGCGAAAGACUAAUCGAACCUUCUAGUAGCUGGUUUCCGCCGAAGUUUCCCUCAGGA
rnacentral:rRNA from 1 species